UUAAAGAAAAAUAAAUAUUAGAGGCAAGGAAACAAAUCAUUCAUCUAGAAACAAUUCAGAGUCCAUGCAAUUUGUCAUCCACAUCAUCAUCCAUUAUCCAUUUUUCUGCCAGGCUGAGAAAACACUGAAGGAUGAAAACACUUUCAACUGACAUUGGGAGAGUGAAAUAACACACUGAACAAGCAGUGGCUCAGGGACUCUAUUUCUUCCUGGUGUGUAAAUGACUGCAGCCACGCUGUUCAGUAGAUUGAUGGAAAGAUGAAGGGACAGAGUAGCCUACAUUCCACCAAUCUAUUUCAAGGAUGACAAGACCUUCAUGA
rnacentral:lncRNA from 1 species